rnacentral:lncRNA from 1 species
UAACGUUUAUAUAUACAAUAUUUUAUUAUGUUCAUAAUUUUUUGUAUAUAUCGACGAAUUUGUAUAAUGUAUUAUAAUAUUAAAGAGUGAUUUACAAAUUUCUUUAUACAAAAUUAAAUAAUUGUAUACAAAUAGCUAUUGCCUCAUAAGACUUUGUAUAUGUUACCUUAAUAUACACCCACUAUAUAUCUAACUUUAGUAAUUGGUAUACAGCUAAUAGAAUAUACAAUUAAGAACUGUUUCAUAAUACUUUGUAUACAUUAACUUAAUAUAUAAAUCACUAUAUACAUAACUUUGUAAUUUGUAUAUAAAUUACACUACCUGAUAUUUCCGAUAUUCUUCAGAUUUGUCCAGUUCUGAUGAGGCAGAUUCAAUUGAAUGACUUUAUGAAUUGUCAUUGGGUCAUUUUUUCUUUUCAUGGAUCUCAAUUCUUCAAUAGAUUGUUCAACUUAAACUUGUUUAUGUUUUGCCAUAGACCCUACAUUAACCCAGAAUUAUGAGUUAACCCAAUUGAAACGAAAGUGGAUUAUCAACAACAUUGACAUGCAAUGACAUACCUCUCGUAAUCCUCAUACAUGGACAGAAAUCAUCUAUUAUGAUUUUGAAAGAUUUGUAAAUUAAUAAGUAAUAAAGAUUUUUUAAAAAAAUAUGAAAAAACUAAUAAUCAUACUACAUAUACAUUUGUUAUAGAAGGAACCAAGAAAAAAUAUUGAAAGCCAUGAAUUUAGCAGUUACCUACGAAAAGUGGAAGAACAUUGGAGGGAGAAGGUCAAAAUUUUCCCAAUGGAAAUUCAAAUCAGAAGAGAAGAGUAAUUUUAGGAAAAGAUAUGGAAUGAAAAUAUGAGAGAUAAAUUUGAUUUUGAAUAAAAUUAUAUAAAGAUCUUU